UUUUUUCUUUUUUUUUUUCUCGCCCAGAAUUCCACAGAAAGAAGCGAUCCUGAAAGAGGGAUGACCAAGAAGCCACUAAACAAGAAUAGAAAAGAAU
rnacentral:ribozyme from 1 species